rnacentral:rRNA from 1 species
GACGCAGCUAACGCAUUAAGUGCCCCGCCUGGGGAGUACGAUCGCAAGAUUAAAACUCAAAGGAAUUGACGGGGCCCCGCACAAGCAACGGAGCAUGCGGCUUAAUUCGACGCAACGCGAAGAACCUUACCAAGGCUUGACAUAUACAGGAAUAUGGCAGAGAUGUCAUAGCCGCAAGGUCUGUAUACAGGUGGUGCAUGGUUGUCGUCAGCUCGUGUCGUGAGAUGUUGGGUUAAGUCCCGCAACGAGCGCAACCCUCGUUCUGUGUUGCCAGCAUUAAGUUGGGGACUCACAGGAGACUGCCGGGGUUAACUCGGAGGAAGGUGGGGAUGACGUCAAAUCAUCAUGCCCCUUAUGUCUUGGGCUGCACGCAUGCUACAAUGGCUGGUACAAACGGCUGCGAUACCGCAAGGUGGAGCGAAUCCGAUAAAGCCAGUCUCAGUUCGGAUUGGGGUCUGCAACUCGACCCCAUGAAGUCGGAGUUGCUAGUAAUCGUAGAUCAGCAACGCUACGGUGAAUACGUUCCCGGGGCUUGUACACACCGCCCGUCACAUCACGAAAGUCGGUAACACCCAAAGUCAGUGCCCAACCGUAAGGA